rnacentral:rRNA from 1 species
UGGGGAAUAUUGGGCAAUGGGGGAAACCCUGACCCAGCAACGCCGCGUGAGGGAAGAAGGCUUUCGAGUUGUAAACCUCUGUCCUAUGGGAAGAAGAAAGUGACUGUACCAUAGGAGGAAGCUCCGGCUAACUACGUGCCAGCAGCCGCGGUAAUACGUAGGGAGCAAGCGUUGUCCGGAAUUACUGGGCGUAAAGGGUGCGUAGGCGGCGCAGUUAGUCAGAAGUGAAAUAUCGGGGCUUAACCCCGGGGCUGCUUCUGAUACUGCUGUGCUCGAGUGCAGGAGAGGUAAGUGGAAUUCCUAGUGUAGCGGUGAAAUGCGUAGAUAUUAGGAGGAACACCAGUGGCGAAGGCGACUUACUGGACUGUAACUGACGCUGAGGCACGAAAGCGUGGGUAGCAAACAGG